AUGAAGUGUGACUGGUACAGAAGCUCAACGAUUCUGAAACAUCUGUGUAUCUAAAAGGAGACCGCUUUCUUGGCACUGAUACCCCUGUUAAAACAGAUUCAUUUACGAAAUGUUUACCGAGCAACUAAGCAUGUGCAGUGACACUCAAAUCUGUGAAGACUUCUCCAACCAAACAUACAAAAGAAAUAGAAGGUUUCUCUGCAGCCCUGAGUGGCCCUGACCUCAGAGAUCCACCUGUCUUUGCUUCCAAAGUGCUAGGAUUAAAGGUGUGUA